rnacentral:lncRNA from 1 species
AUUAACACGAAAAGUCACUUACUUUUUAUACACUCUCAAAACAGUCUCUUUCGCACAUUAAAAAUAUCUCAUUAAUACCGAUCGUCUCUAGAGCAAGUGGCAAAGAAUUUGGUGAAUGAUAUCCGAGAUCCAAGUUUGAAUUCUAAUUGAUUUAACUAAAUUUAUUUUUAAAUAAAAUAAAUAAAGCAGAUAGCGCACUAUCUAUCUCUCUCUCAAAAAUAUAUCAUCAAUAAACAAGGACUAAGAUUAAAACAAAAUAUCGUAAGGACCUAUGUG